GAGGGUAUAACUCAGUGGUAGAGCACAAGCUUAGCAUGCAUGAGGUCCUGGGUUCAAUCCCAGUAUCUCCA
rnacentral:tRNA from 1 species